AUUGAACGCCGGCGGCAGGCCUAACACAUGCAAGUCGAACGGUAGCACAGAGAGCUUGCUCUCGGGUGACGAGUGGCGGACGGGUGAGUAAUGUCCGGGAAACUGCCCGAUGGAGGGGGAUAACUACUGGAAACGGUAGCUAAUACCGCAUAACGUCGCAAGACCAAAGUGGGGGACCUUCGGGCCUCACACCAUCGGAUGGUCCCAGAUGGGAUUAGCUAGUAGGUGGGGUAAUGGCUCACCUAGGCGACGAUCCCUAGCUGGUCUGAGAGGAUGACCAGCCACACUGGAACCGAGACACGGUCCAGACUCCUACGGGAGGCAGCAGUGGGGAAUAUUGCACAAUGGGCGCAAGCCUGAUGCAGCCAUGCCGCGUGUAUGAAGAAGGCCUUCGGGUUGUAAAGUACUUUCAGCGGGGAGGAAGGCGGUGAAGUUAACAGCUUCACCGAUUGACGUUACCCGCAGAAGAAGCACCGGCUAACUCCGUGCCAGCAGCCGCAGUAA
rnacentral:rRNA from 1 species